rnacentral:rRNA from 1 species
UACGUAGGCAGCAAGCGUUGUUCGGAGUUACUGGGCGUAAAGGGUGUGUAGGCGGUUCUCUAAGUCUGGUGUGAAAUCUCCCGGCUCAACUGGGAGGGUGCGCCGGAAACUGGAGAGCUAGAGUACUGGAUGGGAGAGUGGAAUUCCUGGUGUAGCGGUGAAAUGCGUAGAGAUCCGGAGGAACACCAGCGGCGAAGGCGGCAUCCUGGACUGGUCCUGACACUCAUGAGCGAAAGCGUGGGGAGCGAUCCGG